rfam:Camelus ferus unplaced genomic scaffold scaffold1103, whole genome shotgun sequence.
GAGGGUAUAGCUCAGUGGUAGAGCACAUGCUUAGCAUACACAGGGUACUGAGUUCAAUCCCCAGUACCUCCU